GCCCGGAUAGCUCAAUCGGAAGAGCGCAGCUUUCGUAAAGCUGAGGUUGGGGGUUCGAUUCCCCCUCUGGGCU
rnacentral:tRNA from 1 species